CAUAUAAACCUGAGACCCUCCCGCCUGCCCUCCCAAGGUGCUGGAAAUGGAGAGAAAGCAGCAAAGGCGUGAUUACGAUGUCAAUUCAUAAACACCGCACCCCGAGAGACUGCAUGGAUGAAAGCGCCAAUGCCACUGGAAAAUUACCCACCCAGCCGGGACAAGUCAUUUGCUACACAGUGGAGCAAAACAACAAACACUCACACACCGGCAUACACACAAAGCGAAAGGCACAAACUGGAGGUGUUCAGCCCUCUUGGCUGCGGGCAGCAGGGGAGGACUGUCACUAUUCAAACAGACGGAGAGAGGCUCACCAGGACUGAGAGGGACUCAGAGGGCAGUGAAUAGCAAGGCCAGGUUGCUGUCCCUCACUCAUCUUUGCCAAGAGGCAAAUCCAAUGGAAGCUGCCCAUGCAGGUCAGGUGUAAAUACGAGCGUUUCUAGGAUUUGAGGACAUUUGGGGCCUCUGUCGGAGCGUCCACCCGGGCACUUUUU